GAUGAACGCUGGCGGCGUGCCUAAUACAUGCAAGUCGAGCGAACGGACGAGAAGCUUGCUUCUCUGAUGUUAGCGGCGGACGGGUGAGUAACACGUGGAUAACCUACCUAUAAGACUGGGAUAACUUCGGGAAACCGGAGCUAAUACCGGAUAAUAUUUUGAACCGCAUGGUCCAAAAGUGAAAGACGGUCUUGCUGUCACUUAUAGAUGGAUCCGCGCUGCAUUAGCUAGUUGGUAAGGUAACGGCUUACCAAGGCAACGAUGCAUAGCCGACCUGAGAGGGUGAUCGGCCACACUGGAACUGAGGCACGGUCCAGACUCCUACGGGAGGCAGCAGUAGGGAAUCUUCCGCAAUGGGCGAAAGCCUGACGGAGCAACGCCGCGUGAGUGAUGAAGGUCUUCGGAUCGUAAAACUCUGUUAUUAGGGAAGAACAUAUGUGUAAGUAACUGUGCACAUCUUGACGGUACCUAAUCAGAAAGCCACGGCUAACUACGUG
rnacentral:rRNA from 1 species